AAAAUAAUUUAAGACAGCAGAGAAGAUAAUUCUGUUUUAAUUGGUUUACUAACAUAGAUGUAUUACAUCUAUGUUAUUACUAACCGACUUAAAUAAAAGAGUGAGCUAUUAAUACUCUGAAUGUAUGAUGUCUCUAGUCUGGUCAAAGGGUCAGAGUGUCCUACUUAAUUAAACUAUAAAUUGUAGAAAUUAGAUAACCUGUUUCCACGUGCAGAGAAAUUUCACUUAUGACCAAUGCAUGAUUGGAUUUCAUCUUUCUUAUUGGUCAAUGAUCUUGCGGGUCAGCACGAGUUCACGUGUAAGUGCAUUAUGGUCACUUCCUUUUAUCAUCAGCAUUUGAUGUGUUAACUUGUGAUUCUUAUCAAACAAUUUGUUCAAAAUUAUAUGUGAUUUUGUUUUUUGUUUUAUGGAUAGUUUUGGACUGGAGUGAUUUCAUUUUAGCUAUUUCAGGUAUAAUCGAA
rnacentral:lncRNA from 1 species